UACGGAGGGUGCAAGCGUUGUCCGGAUUUAUUGGGUUUAAAGGGUGCGUAGGCGGGCUAUUAAGUCAGUGGUGAAAGCCGGCAGCUCAACUGUCGAACUGCCAUUGAUACUGAUAGCCUUGAGUACAGAUGAGGUGGGCGGAAUUUAUGGUGUAGCGGUGAAAUGCAUAGAUACCAUAAAGAACACCGAUAGCGAAGGCAGCUCACUAAACUGUAACUGACGCUGAGGCACGAAAGCAUGGGGAUCGAACAGG
rnacentral:rRNA from 1 species